CAGUCGCCGCGGUAAUACGAAGGGUGCAAGCGUUACUCGGAAUUACUGGGCGUAAAGCGUGUGUAGGUGGUUGUUUAAGUCUGUCGUGAAAGCCCUGGGCUCAACCUGGGAAUUGCGAUGGAUACUGGGCGACUAGAGUGCGGUAGAGGAUAGUGGAAUUUCCGGUGUAGCAGUGAAAUGCGUAGAGAUCGGAAGGAACAUCAGUGGCGAAGGCGGCCAUCUGGGACAACACUGACGCUGAAGCACGAAAGCGUGGGGAGCAAACAGGAUUAGAUACCCCAGUAGUCCCUGUCUCUUAUAC
rnacentral:rRNA from 1 species